CUGGGCUAACCCGCAAGGGAGGCAAGUGCCGAAGGUAUGGUCGGUGAUUGGGGUGAAGUCGUAACAAGGUAGCCGUAGGGGAACCUGCGGCUGGAUCACCUCCUUU
rnacentral:rRNA from 1 species